CGGGAGGGCGGGCAGGAGGGAGCGCGCGUCUUCGGACUGCUCGUCGCCUCGCGUGAUUCCCUCUGGCGUAUAAAAGGCCCUCGGGUAGCUCUGGGAUCAGAGAACGCACUUGGCUACUUCGCCUGCCGCCGCCGCCUGGAGCUCAGGGUCCUUCAGCCUGCGGAGCGCUGAGCACGAGCCGACAUGGGAGGAGGGAUGUUGAGCAGGCUCCCGCUGGGGCUGCUGCUUCUGUCGCUGCUGCUGCAGCAGAUGCAUUCACAGCCUGUCUCCACACCCAGCGGGCCUGCCGUCACUGCCGCCUCCGCCCCCCCCGGCAGGCCAACGACGAUGUCCACCACCAAGGGAGGCGGCAGCGCCGUGCAGUCCGCGGUGGAAGUCAUCCUGCUUUCCCUUUCCCUCCUGUUCCAUCUCUACUGCUGAGAGUCUCAGGCUGAGAGGCAGCAUCAUUUUUCCCAUUCAGCUUUUCAAACACAAAUCACAUGGCUUCUGGAUGUUCAGCGUGGGAAGGAAAACAGCAGGUCUUCAUCGAGUCUACAGCUUCCGCUCCGUAUUUCAUUGACAGACAAUACAAUGUUAGAUUUUAUGUUCUUGAGAACAUCAAAUUUGACUGGUUUGAAGAGCAUCUGAAGAAGGUCUGUCACUUAGUGUGAAAUCUGUGGAAUUUUGGGUACAAGACUGAAAGAAGAGCCUAUAGCCAAAAUUAGUGAAUGAUCUAAUGUCGUUAAUCAGGGUUUAAAGAGUAUGCACACUCUUACAGUUCUACCUUGAAAAUAAGAAUUGAUUUAACCUUGAUCUAAAGAAAAAAGGGUGGAAUGAGGGAUAGAAGGAUUUCAUUUUGAUUCAGAAAAUCUUUAAAGCCAUUAAAAUAUUGGAUAAUCUCAAAAGCUUCUGUGAUUCUCUUUAUGUACAUGGGAAGGGGCCUCUGUGGUUACUGUGAAGCAGUGCUGAUUUAAUGCUCAUAUACCCUAAAGUGUUAAAUUUGUUAAGUUUUCAUUUCUUGGGAACUCAACACUUUCUUCUGUGGUUUUGGAUUUAACAUUGCAUUUGACUUUGGAUGUGGUAAUUGAUACAUGUCAGAGCUAUGAUGUGUUGGAAUCUACUCUAAAUACAAACUUAAUGAAUACCUCUUGCUCAUACCCUUCUAAAGGCUAAAGGCACUUUCCCAUCAUAUAUUCCAAUCCAAUGAGAGUGCCAGAUUCAUUUAGCUACCGUGCUUGGUUCCAAAAACAGAAAUGCAUUGACUCCAACUAACUUUAAAAUGCUGCUUUUUAUGGACAGAUAGAUGAGAGACCCUGGGCUUCCCAGGUGGCACCAGUGGUAAAGGACCUACCUGCCAAUGCAGGAGACAUGAAACUCGGGUUCGAUUCCUGGGUUGGGAAGAUUCCCUGGAGGAGGGCAGGGCAACCCACUUCAGUAUUCUUGCCUGGAGAAUCCCAUGGACAGAAGAGCCCGGCAGGCUACAGCCUGUAGGGUCACACAGAGUUAGGGACAUAGGGACAUGACUGAAGAGCCUUAGCACACGUGCACACAUGUGAAACCCUGCUUCCUUUACGCAAUGGGAAUUGUUCCCCAAGGAGGUAGGAGCUGGUCUUUAAUUCAUCAUCAGAAAUGAGCCUUAUUCCAAACACCAUCUUCAGUCACAUGGUUUGCCCUGUAGCACUUAAUCUUCUGAGCAGAGGCUUGGGUGGGAGUCCGGAGGGGCACAAAGCAGACACUGGGCAGUAAUUAUUUUGUCCAGGUGGGCUCCCUGGGUCUCAGCCUCAGAGGGAGCCAAGCAGCCCAGAGUUCCUCAAAACCCCAAAACAAUUAUAUGGUUUCCCCCCCAGUUCAUGAAGGUGUAAUCUCAAAUAUGGCUCACAAGUCUCCUGGGUCCACAUCAUCAGAUCUACCGCUCUUUCAACAAAACUUUGGUGGGGGAUUUGCUAAGUCCCAGGUAUUGGGUGACAUUUUCACACCUCUUAUCUUAUUUCUUCUCUAAGGAAUGAAUGGUGGAAUUUCAGCCACUAGGCUCAGGCUGAUGGAGAUAGCCCCGUGGAGUAGUUAAGACUGUCGGUUUAUGAGUUAUGUAGACUCGGGUUCAAAUUCUGGCUCUGCUAAGUAUUAGGAGGUGACAUCAAGGAGGUCACUUUGUGUCUGUUAGUUCUAGACCAACCUUAUGGAAAGUCACAAUAAGAGAAGCUGCCUUGCUGGACUGCUGUGAAGAUUAGACGAGACAUUAUAUGUGCAGUGCUUGUCACCAUCCUGGCACAAAGUUGUGCUCAAAUAAGGUGGUGGGCUUGAAUCAGUCAGUAACUUCUCUCAUGCAUGCUCUCUGAAUUCAUCAGCCUUAGUAAAAGCACCUAGAGGCCCCCUGUCUGCCUUAUCCACCCUGGGGACCAUACCACCGCCAUCUGGGGAAAGGGCUGCCUGUAUGGUGGAGUCUGGUCCAGGGAAGGCUAGCAGGAACACUUGUGAAGAGCUGACCUCCUGCCUGAUCCAAUGAGAAGCAUCUCCAAGCCAAGUUCGCACAGUCUAAGGUCAUCACGAUACCACGGAGUGCUCCUUAUCCCACUUUGCAGAUGAGGAGGUCAGGGCUCAGGUAGGUUGAAUGACGUACCAUCAAGCUCUCAUAGCUGAUAAGAGCCAGCACCAGGACUUGAGUCCAGGUAGCUCUGACACCAAAGGGCAUAUGCUUUUCAUACACUUCUAUGGAAGCUUGGAAACCACUGGAAGGAUCAUUCAGGACAGGGUCUAAGUGCCAGGGUUGGACACCAAUGUCAAGGUAGGUAGGAAGCAGGUGGAGGAGAGGAAACCAUCAGAAGCCAGACAGGCAGACUGGGCUAAGCAUCUUGGGCUUUCUGCUCGUGUGUGUAAUUUGUGCCCACCACGAGGCCCAUAACCUGUGUCUCAGCUUUGCCACCGUGAAGACUCAAACAGGUUCCACUCUCCUCUGUGCCUGUUCCCUGCCCUGUAAGGUGGAGAGGGCAAUGAUUUCUCCAUCUUUGGGCUGUCAGGAAUAUUAAACCAGAGCCAUGGGCACUGUGCCUGCACAGGGUAAGUGCUGAAUGGAAGCUACUGAUACAUCACAGGACGUCAACUUGGUGGGCCGAACAUGGCUUUUCCUUGCGGUCUUGGUCCUGAGAAAGGGCCGGCCACCCUGUGGGGACACAACUCAUUCACAUAGAAGCCCAAACUCUUGCUCCCACAUUUUCUUUUUUAAAAAUUAUUUACUUAGUUAUUUUUGGCGGUGCUGGGUCUCCGCUGCUGCUCGGGCUUUGCUCUAGUUGCGGUGAGCGGGCUUCUCUUGCUGAGGAGCUGAGGCUCCAGGGUGCGGGGGCUUUAGCAGUUGUGGCUCCCUGGCUUUUGAGCGCAGGCUCAGUAGCUGUGGUGCGUGGCCUUAGUUGUUCUGAGGCAUGUGGAAUCUUCCCAGACCAAGAAUCAAACCCGCGCCUCUUCAUGGGCAGACUCUUUACCACUGAGCCCCCAGGGGAGCCCACAUUGUAUUUUUAAGGGGUAAGUCUAUCGGUCAGCUUCCCGUAUGAACAAUGACCACACUUCUCUCUCAGGAAAGUUUCAGAAAGGUAGUAACAGUGUAGGCUCAGCUGUGGUGCUACCACCGGUUAGAGGGAUGAGCCUAGUUCUGCCCAGGUGGGCUCAGGUUCAAAUCCUGGCCCUUGCAGUGUGUAGGCAGACAUUUAUGGAGCUGCACAUUUCCCUCAGAACCAUAUAAAGGAGAUCUGUACCGGUUAUCCCCAGUCUACAUCUGAUGAAACAGAGUCAUACAGGGGUUAAACUGUCCCGUCUCACAGGUAGCAAGUAGACUGAGGGUCAUUUAACUUCUGCUGCCAUUGUGCAUUUUUGGAUGCUUCACUUAAUCUCUCUAAACUUCAGUGCAGAUAACGAAAUGGAGGGUAAGCGUCCCCACUUCACAGGGCUGCUGUCACGGGGUGCUGAUGAAGUCCUGCCUGUGAAGUGCCCCCUCCCAAGGCUCAGUCCAGGUGUAAAACUGGCAAGAAGACAGCAAAGCUAUGACCUGAGAGGAGAGCCCUCCAGCCUGCCGGGACCUAGGGAGCCAGCUAGAGGUGAGGUGUUUAUUUGCAAGAGCAGUGCUUGGCUAUUCCAGAUCAGACAUGAGCCCUUCCCAUCGUCCCCCAUCCUCACAUACAACGCUGGUUCCAGGUGCAACUACCAUUGCAGGUAUAUUGACUGACUGUCCUGGAGGGGACCUUCAGGGUAACCUGUGUUGCGUGUAUAAUGGGUUCUGAACCUGCUGUCCUGACGCAUUGAUCAUAGAGGUUAAAGGUGCCCGGAAAGCUGCAAGGGAUGUGGUUGGCCUCCAGCCAGGAUGGGGAGAAGCUGGCCACCACCAAGAUGGUGAUCAGCUUGCUGGUCCCCAUCCCUCCAUUUCCAGUAAAGAUGUAGGUGAGGUGGAAGUUGCAGUCAGAACAGGGAGUAGACAUCCUGGGUGAGGUGUCUGAGCAUCCCGCCUGAUGAGUUCAGUGUUGGGGGGUAAAACAGAGGGGGUCAUGGUGGGAAUCACUGCUUGGGUUCAGAUCUUGGUUCCAUCACCCAGGAGCUGUGUAGCCUCAUGGGUCACAUUCCUACCCUCUGUGCCUUGAUUUCCUCUCCUAUAAAAUGGGGUUAUAAAGAGUUCCUGCCUCACGGGGUGGUUGUGAGAAUUAAAUGGGUUAUGCACAGUUUCAACUGUGCCUAACUGUGGUCUGUGCCCCUUGGGUAUUUCAUAUUGCUGUGUUGACUGGGAAAAAGCGUAACUUAAAAGUUGAGAAUGAUGUGCUUUUUUUUUUUUUUUUUGGCCAUUACUGAGGAGCAUAGUCUGGGAACCAGCCUUUCAGAGAGCUCUGAGGAACUCUUCCAAAGGGACCAGAUCAACCUUCAACCCAGGGCUAAUUUACCUCAACUACUAGGGCCCAUCUGGAAAAUGAUGGAAUUUGCACUGCUGCCUGCAAGAAGACUUCUGGUCAGGGGCUCUGGCUCCCCAGCCCCACCCAGCAACUCCCCAGAUUGGUCCACACACAACCAACCUGUGUAGCACAGGCUGGCGGUGCCGGUGGAGGGGCAGAGGGAAAACCAUGGAGAGGCGUGGCUGGGAGUGGACUCUCAGGGGCCCUUCUGGCCUGGGUGUCUCCACUUUCUGGGGCAGUUUCACUCUGCUGGUCACGUCGGCAUCCCAGACCCAGGCAAGAGGGGCAGGCAGGCUCCUGGAGGCGGGCUCAGGGCCAUUUGAGCAGAGAAUCCUGGGGUUCCCAGGUGGCACAGUGUCAAAGACUCCGCCUGCCAGUGCAGGAGAUACUGGAGACACAGGUUUGAUCCCUGGGUCAGGAGGAUCUCCUACAGUAGGGAAUGGUGACCAGCUCCAGUAUUCUUGCCUGGAACAUUCCACGGAUGGGAGGAGCCUCCUGAGCUACAGUCCAUGGAGCCACAAAGAGUCAGACAUGACUGAGUGACUAAACACACAAAGAGUGAGGUUAAAGAGGGG
ensembl:lncRNA